GGGCCACAUCACGUUGAAGCACCGUUCCUUUACUAUUACCGAAGUUAAGCAACGUAGAUCCUUGUCAGUACUUAGAUGGGUGACCGCUUGGGAACACAAGGUGCUGUAAG